rnacentral:rRNA from 1 species
GUCGAGAAUCUUUCACAAUGGGGGCAACCCUGAUGGAGCGACGCCGCGUGGAGGAUAAGGUCUUCGGAUUGUAAACUCCUGUCAUGCGUGAACAAGGUUGCUUGGUUAAUACCUGGGCAAAUUGAUGGUAACGCAAGAGGAAGAGACGGCUAACUCUGUGCCAGCAGCCGCGGUAAUACAGAGGUCUCAAGCGUUGUUCGGAAUCACUUGGCGUAAAGGGUGCGUAGGUGGCGUGGUAAGUCAGAUGUGAAAGCCCGGGGCUCAACCUCGGAACUGCAUCCGAUACUGCCAUGCUAGAGUACUGGAGAGGUGACUAGAAUUCUCGGUGUAGCAGUGAAAUGCGUAGAUAUCGAGAGGAAUACCAAAGGCGUAGGCAGGUCACUGGACAGUUACUGACACUGAGGCACGAAGGCCAGGGGAGCGAACGGGAUUAGAAACCCCGGUAGUCC